UACGGAGGAUGCAAGCGUUAUCCGGAUUCAUUGGGUUUAAAGGGUGCGUAGGCGGGCUAUUAAGUCAGUGGUGAAAUCCUGCAGCUUAACUGCAGAACUGCCAUUGAUACUGAUAGUCUUGAGUUUGGUUAAGGUAGGCGGAAUGUGUAAUGUAGCGGUGAAAUGCUUAGAUAUUACACAGAACACCAAUUGCGUAGGCAGCUUACUGAGCCGACACUGACGCUGAGGCACGAAAGCGUGGGGAUCGAACAGGA
rnacentral:rRNA from 1 species